rnacentral:rRNA from 1 species
UGCAAGUCGAACGGUGAAGCCCAGCUUGCUGGGUGGAUCAGUGGCGAACGGGUGAGUAACACGUGAGCAACCUGCCCCUGACUCUGGGAUAAGCGCUGGAAACGGCGUCUAAUACUGGAUACGAACCACAGUCAAAUGGCUCGUGGUUGGAAAGAUUUUUUGGUUGGGGAUGGGCUCGCGGCCUAUCAGCUUGUUGGUGAGGUAAUGGCUCACCAAGGCGUCGACGGGUAGCCGGCCUGAGAGGGUGACCGGCCACACUGGGACUGAGACACGGCCCAGACUCCUACGGGAGGCAGCAGUGGGGAAUAUUGCACAAUGGGCGCAAGCCUGAUGCAGCAACGCCGCGUGAGGGAUGACGGCCUUCGGGUUGUAAACCUCUUUUAGCAAGGAAGAAGCGAAAGUGACGGUACUUGCAGAAAAAGCGCCGGCUAACUACGUGCCAGCAGCCGCGGUAAUACGUAGGGCGCAAGCGUUAUCCGGAAUUAUUGGGCGUAAAGAGCUCGUAGGCGGUUUGUCGCGUCUGCUGUGAAAUCCCGAGGCUCAACCUCGGGCCUGCAGUGGGUACGGGCAGACUAGAGUGCGGUAGGGGAGAUUGGAAUUCCUGGUGUAGCGGUGGAAUGCGCAGAUAUCAGGAGGAACACCGAUGGCGAAGGCAGAUCUCUGGGCCGUAACUGACGCUGAGGAGCGAAAGGGUGGGGAGCAAACAGGCUUAGAUACCCUGGUAGUCCACCCCGUAAACGUUGGGAACUAGUUGUGGGGUCCUUUCCACGGAUUCCGUGACGCAGCUAACGCAUUAAGUUCCCCCGCCUGGGGAGCACGGCCGCAAGGCUAAAACUCAAGGAAUUGACCGGGGACCCGCACAAGCGCGGAGCAUGCGGAUUAAUUCGAUGCAACGCGAAG